AUAGCCCCUCCCGGGCGCACCAUGUGGAUGUCGAUGGACACAGGCGCGUGGUAGAGUCCCUGCAGCACUUCUGGGGCUUCGGUGGCCUCCCAGCGGCUCUGUUCCAUCUGCAGGAUGCGGUCGAAGCAGCUUGUGAUCUUGCCCGCGCCUGAAGUUCCAGGUGAACCACCACCACACAAUCUGGAUCCUGGGCAGCGUGCCCAAGGCAGGACCCCGCCCCUCGAGCAUCGCCCCGCCCGAACCGUACCUCCAGGAAGCUGGUAUAGUCGCUCUCUAGACGGGCCCACACCUCAGGGCCCUGAACUUGGAUUACUGUUGACACACUCCGCCCCCACUGCCCUCUACGGGGUCUAUGCCACCACCUCCCUCCCCGGAAGCGUCUGACGGCUGGAUUUCCUGGCCCUUCAGUAACCAGCUGGGCCUCCUCAGAAUGCUUAAGGAGCUGUCCAAAUGGGCCUCUGCCAGGUUGCCUCAGUGGUGACCUCUGACCCCACAGUUGGCCUGCACCCAAGACUGGACUCUGAACCCCGACCACCAUACGCAGUUCAGGGACCCAUCUUGAUCCAACCCACUCUGGAGAACACCAAAGAGGGUGGUGGUGGUAAUAGCCUGAUGCCAUAUAGCAAUUCAAGAUGCCCACGACGGGGCUGGAGAGAUUGCCUGGUGGUUAAGACA